GUUAAAAGGGCAAAGCGGGGCUUAUUGCAAAAAAUCUAACCCCUUUACACAGGGGUUCAAAUCCUCUUCUUAACU